rnacentral:lncRNA from 13 species
GGGGAAUAUUUCAGCAGAGACGUGGCUGGUUCUGAAGUCAAGCCCAAGAUGAGAAUCACAGCACAUUACUGAAUAAGGAUCCACCAUUCUCAAUGCCAUUAAGAACAUCUGUGAUUCAUGGGAGGAGGUCAAAAUAUCCACCUUAACAGGAGUUUGGAAAUUAGGGUUUCACCAUGUUGGCUAGGCGCUGAUCAUGAAUUCCUGACCUCAAGUGAUCUGCCUGCCUCGAUGUCCCAAAUUUCUGGGAAUACAGGCAUGAGCCACUGCACCCAGUCAGAAAGCCUUUCUAAGGCACAAAGAAAGCAAGAGAGAGAAAUGGAUCCCUGGCAACAUGAUGCAGCUUCUGGAUCUUGCUGUACUGGACACCAGUGGCAUAUCUGGACUUCACAGUUAAGUGAACCAACAUUUCCUAUUUUUUGUGCAUCAGCUGUUGGGAUUGGGUUUGUAUCACUGGCAAAUAAUGAAUAUGCUGUCUCUUCAUUCAAAUACUGGUGUGACUAG